rnacentral:rRNA from 1 species
CCCUUAGAUGUUCUGGGCCGCACGCGUGCUACACUGAGUGGAUCAGCGGGUCAGGUUGCGCGAAAGUGUUUCCUAAUCUUGAAAUCCGCUCGUGAUGGGGAUUGACGGUUGCAAUUUUCCGUCAUGUACGAGGAAUACCUUGUAAGCGCGGGUCAUCAUCCCGCGCUGAAUACGUCCCUGCCCUUUGUACACACCGCCCGUCGCUCCUACCGAUUGAGUGGUCCGGUGAGGCUUUGGGAUCUGAGCGGAAAGAGCGUUUCGCUGUUUCUGCUCGGAAAACUCAGUCGAACCUUAUCAUUUAGAGGAAGGAGAAGUCGUAACA